rnacentral:rRNA from 1 species
GGUUCAUUCAAAUUUCUGCCCUAUCAACUUUCGACGGCUGGGUCUUGGCCAGCCGUGGUGACAACGGGUAACGGAGGGUUAGGGCUCGACCCCGGAGAAGGAGCCUGAGAAACGGCUACUACAUCCAAGGAAGGCAGCAGGCGCGCAAAUUACCCAAUCCCGACCGGGGAGGUAGUGACAAUAAAUACUGAUACAGGGCUCUUUUGGGUCUUGUAAUUGGAAUGAGUACAAUUUAAAUCCCUUAACGAGGAACAAUUGGAGGGCAAGUCUGGUGCCAGCAGCCGCGGUAAUUCCAGCUCCAAUAGCGUAUAUUAAAGUUGUUGAGGUUAAAAAGCUCGUAGUUG